ACUCAAAGGAAUAGACGGGGGCCCGCACAAGCGGCGGAGCAUGUGGCUUAAUUCGAGGCAACGCGAAGAACCUUACCUAGGCUUGACAUGGGCAGAAAUCUGGUAGAGAUACCAGGUCCGCAAGGGCUGCUCACAGGUGGUGCAUGGUUGUCGUCAGCUCGUGUCGUGAGAUGUUGGGUUAAGUCCCGCAACGAGCGCAACCCUCGUCCUAUGUUGCCAGCGGGUAAUGCCGGGGACUCAUAGGAGACUGCCGGGGUCAACUCGGAGGAAGGUGGGGAUGACGUCAAAUCAUCAUGCCCCUUAUGUCUAGGGCUGCACACAUGCUACAAUGGCCGGUACAAAGGGCUGCGAAACCGCGAGGUGGAGCGAAUCCCAAAAAGCCGGUCUCAGUUCGGAUCGGGGUCUGCAACUCGACCCCGUGAAGUCGGAGUCGCUAGUAAUCGCAGAUCAGCAACGCUGCGGUGAAUACGUUCCCGGGCCUUGCACACACCGCCCGU
rnacentral:rRNA from 1 species